AAAUAAAAUAAUAAAAUAAUAAAAUAAAAUAACUGCCACUCGUGUAGGUUGUGAAACCAUUGCUGCUCACUAGGAUGAAAGGCACCAUAUGUGAAACAUGUUGCUGAUUUCUUAUCUCCAGAAAAUAUGUUAUUAAAGUAUAGAGGGACAGAAUGAUUUGUUUCUGCAGUAGGAGCAGUGUUUCAUGGGUUUAGACAAUGAGGGUGGGUCCCAUUCCCUCACUAUAUACAACCUUAAUGAGCGCUGCUGAACUAAAAUGUCAGAAUUUAGUUAUAAGGAGAAAAGUUUUUUUUUUUUUUAAAUCCCAUAGAACAUGAAUUUUUGCAACUGUUCACCCUCAGUUUUGCCACUCAUACAACUCCCUCCUCCAGUGCACAGCCUAUGGAGUCGUGAGAGAAAUAUUAUUUCUCAAACAGUGAAAUGUGCUUCUGAGCUAAGGAGAUGGCCACAUCUCCCCUGUGAUAAUAAUAAUAAAAAGCCUCACAGACCAGCAAAAUUCAGACCAGCAAAAUUCAUCCCCUCCUUUCCUUUCUUGGAGGGUUGAGGGAGCAAAAUUCUCAGUGCAUGUUUGUUGUGGGGACAGCAAGCUGUGGGACAAGAGGACCCUUCCUCCCAUGGGUCCAGAGCAUCCAGCACCCAAGGGACCCCACCCUGGGUGAAGGGAGGGACCCCAGCCUUGUCCCUCAGGGACACAGCCUUCCCCUGCUCAUGGGAUACUCAGGACACAGCUUGCUUUGAGUAAGUGCUGCCCCAUCCCCAGGGUGGGUGUCCAACACGAGAUCUCCGAGCGUCUCGCCGAGAGGAUGAUCUAACAGGGAUUUCCAACAAAAAUGGUUCCAUGUGAUUCUCCACCUUCCCUUCCCUGCCCUCCUGCCCCCGGUGCAGGACCCCCAAGGAGUAAAAAGUGUAAGAGCUGCUCGGAAAGAGGUCAGCUAAUAAAUGAUAUCGAAAUCCUAGUCCCAGAUUUUCUGUUUCCAACAUGCUGCGCAACUAACACUGUGACACUUUGGCAGGAUGAUGGAGAAAAAUCCCGUGCCAGCUGACUGAUGAGCACCCAUCUUUUUUAAUUAAUUGGGUUGAAAAAUGUCUUGUGUCAGCUUGAAUGUAGGGGCUCUUUCGGCUGCGUUUUUCUGGAUACUUAUACAGAUAUAGCUAACUGCAGAUUUGAGAGCCCAGCGUGAGGCCUCAUAAAUGAUAAAAAUAUGUAUAUAUUAGAAUUAUACACACACACACACACGCACAUAUUGGAUAAAUUGAUACUUAAACAUAUAUGUGUGUAUAUAAUGUUCUGUUCUCUGUUCUGAGAGAUAUUUAUAAAUAGAUUUUUAUAUUUAUCUAUCGCUAUUAUUCACAGCUCUAUGUGCAUGUGUAUUGCAAAAUCUGUUUGGCUUUUAUUUUCUGAUAUGCUUUUUAGUUUUAAGCAGAGUAAUAUAUCUGAUUUCUCUUUAAAUUAAAUGAAUUUAUUUGUCUGCCUUCCCUUAAUGGAAUCAGUUUUGAUAUACUCUUUGUUCAUGCUGUUACAGGCUUCAGUCUAAGGGCUCUUUGUAUUAACUUUUUAAAGUUACAUUACAAAGAGGUUUUAAGAUUUCCCAACAGGCUUUUAUUUAACCAGGGCUUUUGAUCUCAAACCUGCUGGGGCCUAGUGAAAUCCUUACCAAUUCUCCAGUAACUCCUCACUAUUGGAAUUUGAAAAGACCCACCUGAAGGAUUUAACUCGCUGUAUGGCUUCAGCCAUCCUUUAGAUGCUUCUAUUCAUGCAGACAGUGAGGGGGUCGAGGGCACCCUUUGUGAUCCUCCAAGUAGCCUAAGGUGCCCUUUGCAUAAGUUGUGCUCCUGAGGAAAUAAAAAUCAGGAGGACACAAACCUAUAUACCUUAUUUCCUGCUAUCUUUACUUAAAGGAGGAGCACAGGGGGUCUGCUUAACAUCCUUUGCUACCUAAAUACCUUUUGGACAUGGGAACUCAAUAAAGGAACUUUCAUUGCAUCCAUUACCCUACUGCGGUGCAUAGCAAAUUAGAUUUAAAAGGGUACUUUUUCCCUUACAGCUAUUUCUAUCAUUUUCUUUAAAAUUUCAAUUUAGUGUCUAGUGACAGAAUAUUCUGUAAUGUACAUUAGAACUAUAUAACACCAAUUAUGCUAACUGUGAACAUUAUUUCAAAAGAAUUAGUUAUAUUAAGUUAUAGAUAAACCACUGGGGAAAAAAAGGUCAGGUUAGAAAAAAAAAAAAAAAGGAGCUAUGUGAUAAUGUUUUAAAGGAGCAACAUGAAGUGAAUGCUCUUUUCAUUUUUUAAUCCUUUCAUUUUGCAUAACCCACACUGAAAUUUUGCAACUGACUUGGUCUUGGUUAUUUAGGCAGGGGGUGGCAUGUCACUGUGUUAAUUUACAGCAACAAAUCGUGGUGUAAAACCUACAGCCGGGUCGUGUGGUUGUGGAGAAACAUAAUUUCCUCUGUUUGGGGGGAAAUGGAAUUGCAGAAAUCCAUGAAAAGUCUUUUGGCAGACACUGGUGACCAGUACACAGGAAAAAAAAAAAAAAGAAAAGAAAAAAGUAGAAAAUGCUGGCAGACCAAGCUUGAAAGAAUAUAACUAAGCACAUUCUUGUCACAGUUUUGGUUGUCUGUUUUCUUUCUCAUGACUGUACCACACAUGAUAUUAUGUCUGUUACCUGCAUUUGGUGUUGGCUUUCUCAGAUUAAUUCCUUUUCUAUUUCAGCCCUAUGCAAAAAUGAAACCACUCUGCAGAGUGCAGGGGAAUCUAAAUGUACCUUAUGUUUUCAUUACUCUUAUUUUCAUUUGUCUAUUUCCUAUUGGUUUGUGGGUUGGAGGAGUUUUGAGUUUCAAGACGUUAUUUAUGUAUUUGUGCUCCUUCUUUGUGUGCAGUUGGUCUGGAGAUGUUUUGUGUAGAUGAAUAAAAUAAAAAUUCUCCAUUUUAAUCCUUAUUUUUCCCUGCCUUAGAGUUGGUUGAAGACUAUUGCUGGAACCGUGUGUGGUUUGGUUAUUUCGAUUUGUAGGGAUUCCUGGCAAAUCAUUUGUGUUUGUUUGACGUCCUGUGGGAUCAAACUGCCAUGAAUUUUGAAUGUUCUAAAAACUGUGUAGUUUACUUCAGCUAAAACUGCCUUCCACUUGAAAACAUAAAUCAGCACAGUUGAAAUCUAGUCAAGGGUUUGUUUUUUUUUUUUUUUCCCUUUUUUUUUUUUUAACAAUUGGGAUUUGCCUCAGCUCCAGCUUGAGCUGAAGCAUUUCUGUGCUGGUCCCUUGCAUCCAGAAAAAAAGCUGGAUGACAUUGUCAUGAGUCAAGUGCCAAAUUUCUAAGCAGUCCAUCACAGGUGGAUGGGUCCUUGGGCAGACCCUGAAAUGUGCCCUGCCGAGGACUGCACCUUCUGCAGGCUCACUCAGGGUGGGUUUUCCUGUUUCAGGGCCUUCUCACACUGAUCUGGAGUUCAAGCACUUCACAAAACCCAUCAGACUCCAAAUCAAGGAGAGAAUCACAGAAUCAUUUAGGUUGGAAAAGACCUCUAAGACCAUCAAGUCCAAUUUAGACUUUUGUUCAGGAUUCUUUUAACUUUCAGCUGCAGCUCCAAGUGGAGUUACAGUAGGAGCUUUCACUUUUUCUCCAGCAGUGAAGUGAAAUUGGAAGCAGAUGUGAACGCUGGCAUUGUCUCUGGGGGACAGAUGAUGUUAUUUCACCAGCCUGACAUCUGUUGAGACUUGAUUAAACCCAAAGCGUGCUGGGCUGGUCCUGCUCUCUAGGUCCUCUGGAAAGGGAUUUGUCCCACCAAGUGCAUUUGGGAAUUCAAGCCUCUCUUACAGACAUGGAAGCCUCUGAGCUGGGGCUUCAAAUUGGACUUUUUUUAUGUUCAGAGGAUGCAAACCACAAUGGAAAGGUUUUUAUCUUUGUGGCAAGGAUGUGAGGUUUUAAUAUGAGUCCAUCUUUAUAGACUAGUGGGAAAGAAAGGCAAAUUGAGAGGGGAAGAAGGAACUUUGAUUGGGAAGACCUGGUGAUACUUUUGGAUGAGUCUCUGUGUGUGCCCACAGGAAGAUGCCCUGAUCCAAGACCUUUAUUCUUUAAACUUCCUGACAGCUUUGCUGGGCAAUGUCAUCCUUGCCCACCCCGAAAAGGGAGAAGCUGUGUUCCUCAAGCACAUCUUUUCCACUGUGCUGUACCCAUCACUCUGUGUCUUGGAGGGGUAUAGAAAACCCUAAUUUCCAUGUGGAUGGUGAGGGAUGCCUUUGUGGAGGAAGCAGCCCCGGAUGCUGCCCAGCUGCCUGAAUAGCCCCCAAGAAACCAAAGCAUCCCAAGUUUUGUUCUAGCAGCUCCCCCUGUGACCUUUGGUAAGCAACUUAACCUGUUGUCCUCAGGAUCCCCAGUAAAAUGGGAGACCUUAAUACUUAUCUGGUGGGAUAACAGUGCUUAAUACUUACCUAAUUGGAUGACAAUACUUACCUACAUACCUCACAGGGGUGUUGUGAGGAUUAAUUAGCUAAUGUUUGUAAAGUGCUUUGGAGAUGGAAAGCGGUAUAUAGUAGUGCUAAGCGCUGUUACUCUGUGUCAGCACCCAGGCCUUAAAAUGGCUAAGACUGCAAUAAGAGUUUUUAUAUGUUUUAAAAUAAGCCAAUUCUGCAAGGCAUCCGGAUGCUGGGAUUAUUUUUAGGCAGAGAUUUCUAAGAAAGUUGGGAAACAGAAGGGUAUAAUUAUAUGACCUGGAACCUUCUGUUGUUUCUUCUCGUUGACCAGCUAAACAGUCUUAGGUGUUGUUUGAUGAAUUGUAAGAACUGCAUGUUGGAGUUUAAGACAUAUUAGUGUUUAUUCUUGCUGAUCAAACAAUAUUCGUUGAAAUAAAUAUCUUUGCUACAAUUUGGACAAACAAAUAUAUUAAAUAAGCCAGAGGAAGUAUUUAUUCCUGUGUUCUUUUUUUUCUGUGUUUCUUUCUGUGAGCAGCUUUUUUUAUCAGUGUAAUUCUGCUUUUGUUCCCAUUAGGGUAACUGAAAGGUAACACCGCUGCAGUAAAUGGAAAUACACCAGAUACAAAAGCAUUAUGUGAGAGCAAAAUUAUAUUUAUAUGUGGUCUGAAAUGCAACCUGACUCUUUGUUUUAAAGAAAAAUCAAACCAACCAUUCCUAGAAAUAUGUAUAAAUGCAACUUUAACAGAAAUUGUCAAACUCUUUGUUGAAUCCUGCUUGUUUCAUGGCAACUCCUAAACAGAUUUUGCAAAAGGAAGGUCUGGUAUAGCAUAGACCAUAUUUUCCCUUUUGUGGGAGGAAACUUUGGAGGAUUUUUGCCUUUAAAUAUUUUAUUUGGUUCCUAAUGUGAGCUCUCGAUCCAAGAAAGCAACUUUAUAGUUAUCAAAGCACCCAUUUGUAUAUUUUUUUGUUACAGCAUUUCUUCAGAUCUUUUCCUCCCAAGUGUUAAAGAGAAUUCCCACAAAUUCCUAAAAUCUGUUAAAAUACAGAACAGAGUGCUCACAUUGGUAUGUUGUAUCUUGGCUGUCCCUGGUAGAGAGCCUGUGCAUUUUCAUCCUGGGUAUGCAGAAGAAAUUCGAUCUGCUGCUGGGCUAAGCACCAGGAUUUGGUUUGCUCUAGGACCAAUUCUUACAUUUCUGCAUCGGGCAAACGUAAGAAUGGAUAACGCUUGGAAUAAAACCUACCCCAAAUCCUUUUGCGUGGAUAUCAGGUUAUUUAAAAAUUGAGAGCAUUCCCCAUAACCAAGGGUGAGUCAAAGAAAAUGGCACCAAAGGGCUCAGAGCAGCCAAGAGGAAAACUCAGCCCAACCCUGAGCACGUUGUUGGUGUCCCAGCUGCCAGAACGACCCAGGAGGCUCAGGGGGAAGUGGGCCAGGAAGCCAGGUGUGGUUGUUGGGAAGGAGAUCUCCCAGAUUAGCUGGUGUUUGGCCCUUCAGCUGCCCAGCGUGAGCCCACAGGGGCUGUAUCCAGCUUUGGAGCACAGGAGGAGGUGAAGUGAAGGAUGACUGAUGCUGUGCAGCACUCUGCACUUGGUGUUCCUGAGGAGGAACUGAGGGGAUGAGGGGACUUAGUGUUUGGGGAGAAUUAUUUGUAUCCAGGCAGCAGAAUUUGCAGACUUGCAGGCUGGGGAGUUUGGUUGAAGUACAGGACUUUGCUAACCCCUCGGUGCCCAUCGUUAGCAUUUCCCAGAACAGGAACUCUUGCCAAAAUGGAGAGGAUUGCCAUAGCCAGUGCCUGGAGUAAGAAGGUGAAAUGCAGACAGGGAGGGAAAAGGUGGGAAAAGACGGGGUUGCAAUGGGGCAUCAAACAAUGGAAAAAGGUAAAAAUCUAAUAUUCUGUCUCUGCUCUCACUGACUUUGGACAAAUCAUAUAAGUGCAGUGUAAAAUGGGAUAAAACCAAUUUCUUCUGCACUUUAGGAAUAAUUAGAGAUAGUGCAGGGCCCAGGUGCCACCACGAUGGAGACAGGCAGAGCAGCUCCCAGUGGGACUAUGCUCUGCAUCAUGUGGUGGGAGAGCAUGUCUGCUAUCUCUUUUGCCUCAGGAGACCUAAAGAAGAUGUAGCAGUGGAUAGUUUUGUAUACCUGGAUUUAAUCUUCUCUCUCCUGCUUUACCCAAAUCACCUCCAUCUGAUGGUGUAGUAGGUAUUUCCAGCAUAUCCACCAGUCUGGCAGCUUUGAAAAAAGAUAUUCUGGGGGGAAAGCACAGCCCAAAGUCCACCUUCCUGAGCAGACUGUGGUUGCUGCACCAGCAAUGCGUGACGUGCAAAUCAGCCAAUAACACCUGAAAUUUCUUCAGUGAAGUCUACCAGAACUUGUAUGCCAAAGAUUUCUUUCCUACUCUAAUAAGUGCUUAAUAAAUAACAAUUUCUAUUAAAAAAAUAAAAAAAAAGGAAGAAAAAGUAGUGGUCAUACAAAUAAGACACUACUACUGAACAGGAGAGCCUCAAGGGGCAACAUGAUACCUGAUCACUGAGGCUGCCUCUGGCAGUCAAAGAAUCACAGAAUCAUAAGACCUUGGCUGGUCUGGGUUGGAAGGGACCUUAGAGAUCAUCUGGUGCCAACACCCACAGGCACAUCCGGGCUGUGAUUCAUUCUAUGCUAAAAAAGCUCAGUGGUCCCUUCCUCACCUUUGGCCAAGGAUUUAUGCUCUUCCCUGGGAGCAGCACUGAUGUUCCGUGGUGCAUGACCACCCUGGGGAGCCAAACUGGCCAAACUCCCAGCUAAACCUGGGAACUGAAUCUCGAAAUGGUCCCUGGAGGUGUUAGCCCCAGCCUAGAGAAAGGAUGUAGGGUGUAGGAUAAAGAAUAGUGGGAAAGGUAGAGGCAUAGCAGCCUCAGAGGGGUUUGGAUAAGACAUCAAGAAAACGCCCGAAGAAAAUACCUUGCUUUUAAUAGUUGCUGGUGCUGUAGGUGGUCAGAUACAAAAGAUUUAAAAAGAGGACAAGAAAGGGCUGUCUUAAUUUAAGCAUUUAUUCAGAGAUGGCCGAAACUAAGCAAAGGACAGGAUGUGCAGGAUGCUGAAGUCUGUGGCAGACCGGAACCCUCUUGUUUCUGCCUCAGCCUCAUCUUCAUCACUGCAAUGAAAAGUAUUUGUGCUCUGCUCAGCGUGUGUGGAUUUCUGCGUCCCUCAAUGGGAUUGCAGGGGGAAUCAAAGUGAAGAGUCCUCUUUAGGUCCUCAAGAAAUAGAGCUUUCUGCUGGUUAACCAUUACUUUGCAUUUUCCCUUCCUCACAAAACGACUGAGGUUAAACAUUAAGCGCCUGCAGUGAAGGACACCUGUAUUUGCUGGUCCCAUUAUGCAGCUCUACUGAAAAGGCUUUACAGCUGUCUAAAUUAGCAUAAUUAAAUCCACAUCAAUUAAAAAACCUCCAUCAUCUCUUUCCCCUUCAGAUGCAGAUAGUCGCAUUUGUCUAAGGUGCUAAGUGACAAAGGAACUUUUUAACAGUGGAAGCCGGAGCUGAAAGGAAGAGUAAUACGGGUUGUAUAUUGGCCCAAGGUUCACCUUAACACCAGUGGAAGUGAUUAGUGGGUGCUGCUCUGCCUAAAGAGGUAGAGCUGCCUUUUGCAUGACAAUGAUGCCAGGACCCAGAGCCAGGCAUUAGAGAUGUGCAUUUUACAACGGGCUUGGCUUCUAUUGCUCCUUUAUACCCCAUUAAUGGGGGGAAACAAAGCCUGGCAUGAUUUGGCCAAUUUCCCCCACCCUACUUUCUUCCCUUUUUUGUUUUUUGGGCCUUUUUUUUUUUUGUUUUGUUUUGUUUUGGUUGUUUUGUUUUAGGGUUUUGUGUUGUUGUGUGUGGGGAAGCCCCAGUGACCCCAGGAUAGCAGCAAGGCUGCGCUGUGUGAUGCGAGCAAAGAGAAUUCCUCCAGAUGAAAACUGACAUGGGGUUCAGGGGUUAAUUUCUGGAACAGGCACAUUUGCAUACAAAUGAAAAAUGAUGGAAUUUCUGUUCUCCUAAAUUUUCAAUGUCAUCAGCAUCAAACAGCAGUCAGUGCUCCCUUGCUGUUUGAAGAAUAUUCAUUACUUCAGAAGAAGGGGCACCUUGUUUGGUAUUAAUCUCCUCUUCAGGUCAAUGACUUAAUUUGCUAAACUCCAUCUGAAGUGCCACUCACUUUUAGAUUUCUCUGCUAUUCUUUGUUAUUUUUCAUAACAUGUUCUUAAUACUUUUUUUAUUUGUAAGGGGAUACGUGUCCCCAGCAAAUGCAAGCAGGAGGAAGGACUGCCUUUAUUUAUUUAUUUAUUUUCACCCAGAGAACUCAACACCCGUCUAUAUCAUUUGUAGCACGUUUUGGUGUCUGCUCACCUUAAAAUUCAUGGGGGUAUUAGCAGAAAGAAAAUAACUUGUGGACUCAAAUGGGAAAACAUUUUUUCGUUCAAAACUGUCAUUUAAAUGGACAUCUGGUGCCUUGUGCAGCAAGGUUAUGGGGUGUCAUGCCUCUAACAAAAGGUAACAAGCGGCUAAGUGAUUAAUCCCCCAAAGAAAAUCACAAUAUUCUUUUAGUUCCUGCCUCUGGAAAUUCUCAUCUGAAACCGCAGUGGCUGAAGACGUACUCAAGGAAACUUUUGUGUUAGCUCUUAUUUCCCCAUUGUCCUCUCUGUGUCUGCCAGGGGCCUGAGGAAGGAUCCCAUUUCCCUCCAUUUUUGCCCUUCAUGGUUAUAAUUCUUCUGCCUGAAUAGGAUUAUUCAGGGCAUCUUUAGAUCUUCAGAGCUUGGGGGUGUCUCUGGGAAAUUGGCCCAGGGCUCUCAGGUGGCCAUGCCCACCCUGUGGCCUAGGUGCUCCUGGCUGAGGGUCCCAGGGGAGGUUGGCUGUCCCUGUGGGAUGGGCUUAAAAAACCCUCAAAGUCAAGAUUUGUCCUAGAACCUUCUGUUUUUAUAUGUCCAGAGCUUUCUGAACUUUCCAGUCAGGCUUAUUCUUGGUUCUCAAAAUAAUGGGGUUUUUUGUUUGUUUGUUUUUUAAUUAUUAAUAAGAUCUGAUUUUUUUGGCAUGAGCACUUAUGGAAAUGAAGCAAUUGCACUGUCUGUUCUUCUGUCUGUCACCCUUACUAACUUUUGAACCUCUUUGCCAAUAUCUCUCCAGUUUGUUCACAGGCUACAGAGCUCAAAAGUGUGAAGUGCUUUCCAGUUUUAUUUUUUUUUCCUUCCAUAUCUAACUCUGAAAUGGUAACAUUUACUGUUGGAAAUAGUACGGACAGCUAAGCUUUUAUCUAUUUUUUUUUCUUGGUUUUUGGGGUUUUUUUGGGGUUUUUUGGGUUUUUUUGUGACUUGCAAAGGGGAAAAGAAGUGAUCUGAGGAUUAUUCCCUGUGUGUCUCUAUGAAGGCUGUUAGCAAUUAACCAACUCGUUCUGGAUGCCUCCAAGUCCAGCUGGGUGAGGUUCAAGAUCCUUGGCAAAAAAAAUAUCAAACAACAAACUAUGUACACAUAGUAUAUACAACUUGCAUGCAAUUGCCUCUUGCUGCCUUCUCUUCAUGCAAUAAUUCUUUAAACUGAGAAUUUUGAGGUUUCUCCGUAUUUAUGGAGCAUGUCACUCAGUGGGGCUGUAGUCCUGAGCACUGGAAAAAUAAAAAUAAACGGGGGCUGAUGGUGGGGAGUUACAUUCCUACCUGGAGCAUUAAGUUAAGAGUGUCUAAGGGCCUUGAUCCUCAGCCCCAGCCAAGCUGGAUUUAGCAUAGGUCAUAUUAAGGUGGGGCAAAGGGGGCUUUGUGUCAUUUUUAGAUCCCCUUAUCCCAGGCUGUGGAGCCUGGUGUGAUGGAUGUGCUGGAGGUUGGGAUGGCAGAAGGGCUGGUGCAGUUGGCCCAGCGCCAUCCAGAGAUCCUCUCCACCAAGGGCACCUCGGGGGUGACAGGAUAAGCCAGCUUUGCAAAGGCAGCUGCUCUGGGAGGCUGGAUCUGCCUCCUUAUCCACAGAGAAUGUCCUCAGCAUAAAAACUUUCUCUGUGGGAAGGCUUGGCUGUGGGAAUGAUCCUGCGCUGACACGUCUGUGAUGAGCGGGGAGAUGCUCCCCUCCUGUGCAGUUUGUUGCUGUCGGAAGAACAAAUCAAGGAAUUGUCAGAUAAAGCCAAAGGAAUCAGUAAAAAUCAGCAUCAUCCAAAAUUCCGGGCCAAAGAGUUACAACUGCCCGUGUCUUGUGCUGUGAAAUCCUUCUGCCAGGGGGGCUGGAUUCCUCCUGAUUCUCUUAUGUGACAAAAUACGGGCGGAAAAAUGACUCUCAUGAAUGCUUUUGUGGUGGAAGGCUCAGGAUUCUGUCUGAGGAGCUGAUUCUUAGUCACAUCUGUCUAUCUUGUUGUAUGAAUAUUGAUAAUGAAGUCAGAAAGAGAGACUUGUCAUCCUAAGUGCAUCAGACUCUGGCACUUGCCUGCUCAGAAGGCGGCGGCUCUGCUGCUUCGCUGCUGUCGGUGAUGUCGGUUUGUUGAAAUAAUAUGUCUCUGCCAGCUGAGAAUCUGGCCUUAAAAUGAGAAAAGUUGAGAUUCCCAUUGUUGAAUUAGUUUGGCCACAUUAAAAAUACGUUGCUCUAGAAAUGUGUAUAUGAAUAUGCUAAUGUUUAUUUUGCUAAAUGUGCUUGCCAGGAUGUGCCAUGUGGCUGAGUUAGUGUUACUUUAAGAAUCCUAAUUUUUUGCCUUUUCAGACUUUGGAUCUUUUAAACUUGUAAACACAGCAUUUUGUUGGCAAAAGUCUCUAUGAUUUUAUGCAUACAGCUGACUUUUAUCUUCACUUUUUACAUCACCUUAAUACUGAAAGAGAGAAAGCACUCAUCUGUUUAUGAUAAGUUUAUCAGAAAUACUCCAAAGUUUUCCAUGACUAAGAUAUUAUAUUGUUACAGUGGCUUGCUACAGGGUAAUUUCUAGACAACAAACAGAAUAUUUAAAAGCCCAGAUGUCCUGUUUAGACAAGGGGGUUUAUAUUGAUUAGGAUCUGCUUUCACCUAACAUCGUGUAGUAAAUAUCACAAAGACAUAAUUAGAAAAUUUGAUACAAUAUUUAGUCCUAGUCCCUGUGUGCCAGAAUUGUUUGACUACUGAGAAACUGGAGCUUGUUUGCAUCCCAGUGUGUUGUGAAAUGCAAACUUCAAAGAAAAUAUUAUAUCUCCCAACUCCAGCUCGUGAGAGUCUUGGAAGUAUAAUACAGAAAGGCUUAACAAUCCCUGCUGAGGAAAGGGCAAUUUGACACUGAAACUACUGUUAAAGCACCGUUGACACUCUGGUGGGCAAAAAGUGCUUAUUAGAGGAGUCUAGUUACAGUCUCAGGAGCCAGGCAGAGAAACCGCACCAGAGUCAUUGUGAAAACUGGCAAGUUGCACCAAAUAGAUGUGUUUUGUGUAUGUGUCUGCGCGAUUUUUUCCCCCCUCCUUAACUACACGUAUCUCCGUGUUUGCUUCGUAGGCUUUCCAUAAGAUUGGGGCCCUUGCGGUAUUCAAAUAAAAUAUUUAGAUUUGCAAAACUUCUGGAAGCCAGAUUUUAAGGGAAAAAAGAGGUUUUUUGUCAGAUUGUCAGUGUCUGAAUUUCAUCACAAUCUGUUCAGCUGUUUGUUGCAGGCAGGCGUAAAACAUAGUGGGUAAGUGUGUGUUUGUACUUCUUAUACAUAUUGAAAGAGGGCUGCCUAAUCCCCUUGAUGAGGAAAGCUCUGUAAAUUAUAUACAUCUGCAGGCACUGUGCAUGGGUAGUACAGAAGCAAAGAGGCAGAUCAGCAAUUUGAGGGAGCAAAUAAGAGUUUUCUCGCAAAGUCGGCAAUUGGGAACCUUACAGCAGCCCAGCCUCCUGGUGAUGUCAUUUACUUGUGGGUUUGUUUGGGGGUUUUUUUAAAUGACCCGAAUGUUUUGCCUUAAAAACUUUGCCUAGGAGGCCCUUCUACGCACCCAGGAUUCCUGGCAAGAGAAAAAAAAAUAUUUGCUGAUGACAGCUCUGAAUAUAUUCUCUUUAAUUGUCACUUAUGUCUCUGUCCCAUCCUCUGCACUGUGCUAAAAAUAGUAAUUCGGGUUGAUGGUUUCAACACCAUAUAAUAUAUGUAUAUUGUUGCAUACAAAACCUACAUAAAAAUGUCAGGAAUGAGACCAAAGCCAGGAAUAAAACUGAAAAUCACAAACAUGAGAGAAGACCCAAAUAAUGAGGGUGUUGCAGGGAAAUGUUAUAUUGACGUCUCUGUGUAAAUACAUGCAGGCAGAGCAGUAAAAAUCCCACCACCUUCCAUGCAUAGAGGAUUCCUAGAAUAAUAUUUGCCUAUUUUUUUUUGUAAAUAUGUAGGUAGUGUUUAUAUUUAUCCCCAGCCUUCCCCUGCUUCCUUUAAGAGCAUGAUUUGCUAAUCAUGCUACAACACUUGUAAGGUAAGUGCAGGACAUAUUUUCCUGUCCAUUUUGCAGUGGAUAAAUUUGUCCAAAUUGUACAGCAAGUGUCUGGCAGAAGUGAGACUAGACACCAAGGAUAAAAUCCCUUUGAUUUCACUGAGGCGAGGAUUUUAUACCAGGAGUUUUGUCUCCACUUCUCCACUCUGUCUCCCAUGCCCUGUGUAUUCUUGGCUUUUGUUGCUACUUGAUCCAAGUCUUGGCUCAUUGUGUUAAAGGAAAGUCUGACAAAGAGGCAGCAAUGGCAGUGUUAACGUGACACUGUAGUUAUGGUUUUGUCAGCAUUUCCAUAUAAACUUCUGUUUGCAGGAAUUAUAAAUCAACCAUGGAAAAAAAAAAAAAAAAAAAAAAAAAAAGGAAAGAGAAGAAAUCACUGUGAAGUAAAACUUGGCAUACCAGAAUCCAGGAGGGAAUUUUGAGCUUUUGGAAAUAAUGGCUUCUGAUUACCAUGGACAGGCAUGACAUGAUGUGCAAAUAUACACUCCACAUUGCACUGGAAGAAAAUCAGGACAAGUGUCACCACUUUGUCAUGGCCAAGAGGGUGAGGAAAGAGGGUCUUCCUGACUUUCGGAAAUGAGAGAAAUAUUUUAUUAUUCUCAGAAACAUCCUAUUAAUGCCCUUAACAACUUCUUAAUUUUUCCUGUUUACUUUGUAUCAUCCCAUGUCAGGGACAGACGAUGGCUGGCUUUGGGGUUUGCAGUGGGUCAGGCAGUCAGCUGGUGUUGAUCAGCACAGCUCCACCCAAGUCCAGUGAAGUGAGGUUGGCUUACACCAGCCGAGAGUCUGUCUCCAUAUCACCUUUCUGCAGGAGGCUGCAGCAUUCGCUACCCAUUUGGAGCCCUAGUUAGUGUUUGUUUAACUUUGGAACUCCAUUCUGCCAUGCUGACUGAAUUCCAGUGGCAGGAUAGGCAUAAGCUGACUUGAAAGUGGUUUUGCCAAGGAGGUUAUUGGUUAUUUUGAAGUUGCAUUGUGCUGGUAUUUAUUGUAUUGUAUUCCAGGUUUUUUCCUGCUGCACAGCAGAGCGAUGGAGCAGGUGCUGCUCAGCCAGUUUACAACUGUCAGGCUGGUCCAAGAGGCUGCAACUAUCACCUACCCUGCACCCAAACUGUGAUUUUACAGGAUGAAGCUGAGUCACUGCCCAUUCUGGGUCAGAGCUCUGGGCUGUCCCCGGGACGAGCUCACUCCUGCAUCAUCAUCACUCAUGAGUCACUCGAAAGACGAGCUGCUGGCUCAUCGGAGCAGCAUUCCCCAGCAGCCGAGCUGGAACUCGAGUCCUUAUUUCUGAAUUCAGCUUGGAAAUAAAUGACAGCGCCGUGGCAGCUUUGGCUUUCGGUGGUGCUGCUAAUAACUGAGUGCUAAAUGUGGAGCAGCUCUGCAGGAGUGUCCCAGAGUCAGGUUACGGGGAGCAGGCGUCAAAACAAAGGUGCGGCAAACUCGAGGUAACUCCUUGAAUUGCGCGCCGGGGUUGGGUGUAGGGAGGAGAAGCAGCAAAACUCCUUGCUGGGGUUUUUUUAGAUGUGACAUUUCAGUGAUGUACCAACAGAGGAAAUUUUGCUUGCAGAAUCCUGUGAGCAAAACACUUCUGAGAAUGUAUGUAUACAAUUGUUUAAAAAAACACAGGGUUACUGACACAGAUGCCAAUUUGGUAGGGCAUAUGGAACAUUUACACUUGCCUUUUUCAUUCUUUCUUGCUACAGCUGGUACUGAUUUAGUAUGUGAAAUUUUACUAGCAGGAGUGCUAAUCAAGACAGAGAUUUCUGUGAGGAUUUAGUCAUUUAUGUGGAGGAAAACUAUGGGUAUCAUUAAAAAGUACAAGAUCAUCUAUGAGAGGAACAUUAUCAUUAGCAACCUAAUUUUUAAAGCAAACAGAGGGGAAAAACCUACUGUAUAUCCUCAACAGCAGCGGCAGCAGCAGCAAAUGAUGUUUUUGUAAUAUUCAGUCAUGUCACCUCUCUCUAAGUUUGAGCAAAGAGAAUUUGAAAUUCACUUGAAAAAAGGCAAUAGAUGCUCCAAGUGCUUUUUCAACCAGUGUGAUAGCCUGUUCUGCUACAUCAAAUGGAUAUGGCUGGGAAUGGGAUUAAAUCCAAAAGCCACAUUCAAAUCCUGGAUCGGUGUUUGAAUCUGGGGCCUCCAUUCAAACCUAACUCUAUGAUGGGGCUGCCUUUCACCAUCUUGGCAUUUGAGAAGGGGCCAACAGUAUCCCACAUCUAAAAUCCAGAGUUUGUAAAAGUUCCCUUCCUUUUUUUUCAGGAACUGCAAUCUGGGCCUGGAAUGGAGACAUUCAGAUCAUAAAUACCAAUUCUGGCCAAUUCCUGAUGUGACAAGAAAUACUAUAUUCCACCAAGAAGGCAACGAGAGCAUAUUACUUGUCCAAAGAGAUCCAAAAAGGUUCUGAGAGAUAAAGACCCCUCUGAUGUCGAACAGGUGGCUCGUCCAGGUCAUCAAGCACGAUGGUGGCUGUGGAAACAAAGCGUGUGGCGGUCCCACCUCGGCGCGAGGCGCGGGGGCGCGGCGGGGAUGCGCUUGGCAUUUAAAGGUCAGUCCCUGGCAGGUCCUCGGCACGUUCCCGGCAGCAGGUGACCUCCGUGACUGCUCUCCCAUCUCACACAUCCGCCUCACCAAGGAGCCAGGCUGCACCUUUAUGAAACUGUUUGCAGAAGAACGAGGCGUGAUCACAACUAAGCUGAAGGGUGUCAUAUUCACUUUACCACCGACAUGAGGACCAGUGGUUGAAUAUUCGAUUACAUGUCAGUCACAGCACAUUAGGCAAUCUUCCAGUCUGCCAGCUUUGCCCUUCCCAGCUCCCAGCUAAGUGUCAUCAGGAAAGAAGUAGCACUGUGAAGGCAGGAAUUGGCUUGCUCUGGGAGCUUCAGUCCCCAUGAAAAAUGUCCUCUCUUAUCAUUCCAGUGAGUCUAUUGUUUCCCCCAUACUCUGGAGGGAGGAAGGUUGUUUGUGCCUCCUGACUGUGGAUUCAAACCACUCAUGGUGCAGUUGCUGCUCAAUUUCAUCUCUAGAUCCGAAGGUAUAAAUGUGUGGAAAAGCAGCAAAUGUUGUAUUGAAAAUUUAGGGAGCUGUCAUUCCAACUGCCAUUACCAAAAAUAUUCUGCUCUUUCAAAUAAAGUGGCUAUAAAAACU